GGCCGAGUUAGCAGAAGGCACCUGCCUUCUAAGCAGGUUGUCGCAGGUUCGAUUCCUGCAGGGGUCGCCA
rnacentral:tRNA from 1 species